AAACCAUGAUGAGGACAUUCUAAGAGAAGAUCCUUAAAACGUUCCAUACACCUAGAAAAUGAUUCAUUGGGUUUUUCAAGAAACUGGAGAAUGUCGUUCCUAAGUUU
rfam:Cephalotus follicularis DNA, scaffold: scaffold707, isolate: St1.